GAUGAACGCUAGCGGGAGGCUUAAUACAUGCAAGUCGAGGGGUAACGAUGGAGCUUGCUCCAGGCGACGACCGGCGAACGGGUGAGUAACGCGUACACAAUCUACCUUCAAGAGGGGGAUAGCCUUGGGAAACUGAGAUUAAUACCCCAUGUGAUUGGACUUUUGCAUAUUGGUCCAAUUAAAACUCCGGUGCUUGAAGAUGAGUGUGCGUCCUAUUAGAUAGUUGGUGAGGUAACGGCUCACCAAGUCGACGAUAGGUAGGGGGCGUGAGAGCGUGGCCCCCCACACGGGUACUGAGACACGGACCCGACUCCUACGGGAGGCAGCAGUAAGGAAUAUUGGACAAUGGGGGCAACCCUGAUCCAGCCAUCCCGCGUGCAGGAAGACGGCCCUCUGGGUUGUAAACUGCUUUUGUAUACCAAGAAACGCUUUGAUUUAUCAGAGCCUGACGAUAGUAUAAGAAUAAGCACCGGCUAACUCCG
rnacentral:rRNA from 1 species